CAAUAGCGUAUAUUAAAGUUGUUGCAGUUAAAAAGCUCGUAGUUGGAUUUCUGGUUGAAGCGACCGGUCGGGCGUUGAUUCGUCUGCACUGGAGUCGGUUUUGGCCAUCCUCUAGGAAAGUGCGUCUGGUAUUAAGUUAUCGGGCGUAUGAUCCUGGUCUUUUACUGUGAAAAAAUUAGAGUGUUUAAAGCAGGCCCUCGCCUUGAAUACAUUAGCAUGGAAUAAUAAGAUAGGACUUUGGUCUAUUUUGUUGGUUUGCAGACCGAAGUAAUGAUUAAUAGGGAUAGUUGGGGGUAUUUAUAUUCCGAUGUCAGAGGUGAAAUUCUUAGAUUUUCGGAAGAUAAACUUAUGCGAAAGCAUUUACCAAGGAUGUUUUCAUUAA
rnacentral:rRNA from 1 species